rnacentral:tRNA from 1 species
AUAUUGUUGGUUAAGUGGUAAAAUUCCUGCCUUCCAUGCAGGAAACCUGGACUUGAUUCCCAGCCAAUGCA